UUAAAAUUGAAAUCCUCGUUUUCUAAGAAAUUUUGCAAAUGCGAGUCAUGUUAGCUGAUCGUCAUCUUUGUGGCGCAAGUCAAUACCACUUAAUAUUUUGUUUACUUUGGAUAUAUAACUAAAAAGGACAACAUUUAUGCACAGUUUGUACGUCAACAAGGAAUUGUCUUUGUGUUUUUCACAAAAACAUAAGCAAUGUCUUUUCUGUGCAUAAAGUUUCCAUUGUUCUCUUCUUAAUUGCGAGACCCGUUAUAUAUUUAAGUAUUAUGAAGAAUAUAAUAUUAGCUAUGUGUCUAAAGGCUUUAAAAAAUUGCGUAGAUGGAUGGACUAGAUGUCGUUCAUCUUUCAGACACUCCCGAUGUUGAAUAACUUUGGCAAUGCACCUGCGAUAAAACUUUCUUUCCCACGACACCAGCAACAUAUGGUGUAGCAAAAUCAAGUGGAUUGUUGCAAACGAGGCCUUCAGGUGUCGCAUAAAUUGGUAUGGGUACCUGCAAAUGUUCAACAGACGCAUUGCCGGCCGCAAUGGGGGGUGUUAAUAAGAUGGAUUUUCUUAUUACCUUGUAUCGGACAUUUAUCAGGUCUAAAAAGUGGACUCUGAGAAUGUUUGCUCAUGCCAUAGAUAUAACAUGCGUAAACGGCUGGUUCGAAUAUAAAGAGCUGCUAACUUGGGUGUAGCCUAGAAAGAUAUCCUAGAUUUGCUGCACUUCAGAACCUAUAUUGCUGAGGUUCUAAUCUUGUCCGAAAAAAACAUCUUCAAAAAAGAGGGGGCGUCCAUCAGCUGAUAGUCCAGGUCCUUCAACGCUCAAAACUGUAAAAGUAAGACCAGAAAUUAGACCGAUAGCCGAAGUUCGUUUGGUCAGACUAGACCAUUUACCAUCCAUUGAUGGACAAGACUUUGCAUCUAGGUGUAAAGGACGAUCCAGAAUUUUAUGCCAAAAAUGUAAUGUUUACCUGACCUUUACAAAAAAAGCAACUGUCUUUCAAUAUAUCAUAAAAGUAA
rnacentral:lncRNA from 1 species